rnacentral:rRNA from 1 species
CGUAGGGUGCGAGCGUUAAUCGGAAUUACUGGGCGUAAAGCGUGCGCAGGCGGUUUUGUAAGCCAGAUGUGAAAUCCCCGGGCUUAACCUGGGAAUGGCAUUUGGGACUGCAAGGCUUGAGUGCGGCAGAGGAGACUGGAAUUCCUGGUGUAGCAGUGAAAUGCGUAGAUAUCAGGAGGAACACCGAUGGCGAAGGCAGGUCUCUGGGCUGACACUGACGCUCAUGCACGAAAGCGUGGGGAGCAAACAGG